rnacentral:lncRNA from 1 species
GGGCGGAACGGGUGGCAGUAGCUUCAUUCUGAUGUGAUGAACACUAUUAUCCGCCACCGCCUAUGGCUAAUUCCAACACCUCUUAUCCAUUCUUUCCCCAAAUUCCCUUUUCUUCAAUCCUCUCUCUUCUUCUCUUCAACCACUUCUGAUCCCAUCUCCUUCACUGUAUCCUACCUUACCAACACCUGUGGCUUCUCUCCCGAGGCCGCUCUAAAACUAUCCAAACGACUUCGUUUCUACAGCGCCCACAAAACCGAUUCCGUCAUCUCCUUCUUCCGAACCCACGGUUUCUCCGUCCCCCAGAUCCACCAGAUCUUCAGCAAAGCUCCCGAUGU